rnacentral:SRP_RNA from 2 species
GCCGGGUGUGGUGGUGUGCGCCUGUAGUCCCAGCUAUUCAGGAGGCUGAGGCAGGAGAAUCGCUUGAACCUGGGAGGCGGAGGUUGCAGUGAGCCAAGAUCGCACCACUGCACUUCAGCCUAGGUGACAGAGCGAGACUCUGCCUCAA